rnacentral:rRNA from 1 species
AUGAACGCUGGCGGCGUGUUUAAGGCAUGCAAGUCGAACGAAGUACUCUCGCAAGAGCAUUACUAGUGGCAAACGGGUGAGUAACACAUUGGUAACCUACCUUCAAGACGGGGAUAGCUCGCCGAAAGGCGAAUUAAUACUCGAUGGUAAUGCGGGGACGCAAGUCAUUCGCAUUUAAAGAUUUAUCGCUUGAAGAGGGGCCUAUGUCUGAUUAGCUAGUUGGCGGAGUAAAAGCCCACCAAGGCUAUGAUCAGUAGCAGGCGUGAGAGCGUGACCUGCUUCACUGGGACUGAGACACUGCCCAGACAUCUACGGAUGGCUGCAGUCAAGAAUCUUCCUCAAUGGACGAAAGUCUGAAGGAGCGACGCCGCGUGUAGGAUGAAGGUCGUCGGAUUGUAAACUACUUUUAUAUGGGAAGAAUUUGUGACGGUACCAUAUGAAUAAGAGGUUGCUAACUCUG